UACAGAGGGGGCCAGCGUUAUUCGGAAUUAUUGGGCGUAAAGAGCGUGUAGGCGGCCUGACAGGUCUGCUGUGAAAACUCGAGGCUCAACCUCGAGAUGUCGGCGGAAACCGUCUGGCUAGAGUCCGGAAGAGGAGAGUGGAAUUCCUGGUGUAGCGGUGAAAUGCGCAGAUAUCAGGAAGAACACCUAUGGCGAAGGCAGCUCUCUGGGACGGUACUGACGCUGAGACGCGAAAGCGUGGGGAGCGAACAGG
rnacentral:rRNA from 1 species